rnacentral:rRNA from 1 species
GGGUUGUGAGGUUAAGCGACUAAGCGUACACGGUGGAUGCCCUGGCAGUCAGAGGCGAUGAAGGACGUGCUAAUCUGCGAUAAGCGUCGGUAAGGUGAUAUGAACCGUUAUAACCGGCGAUUUCCGAAUGGGGAAACCCAGUGUGUUUCGACACACUAUCAUUAACUGAAUCCAUAGGUUAAUGAGGCGAACCGGGGGAACUGAAACAUCUAAGUACCCCGAGGAAAAGAAAUCAACCGAGAUUCCCCCAGUAGCGGCGAGCGAACGGGGAGCAGCCCAGAGUCUGAAUCAGUGUGUGUGUUAGUGGAAGCGUCUGGAAAGGCGCGCGAUACAGGGUGACAGCCCCGUACACAAAAAUGCACAUGCUGUGAGCUCGAUGAGUAGGGCGGGACACGUGGUAUCCUGUCUGAAUAUGGGGGGACCAUCCUCCAAGGCUAAAUACUCCUGACUGACCGAUAGUGAACCAGUACCGUGAGGGAAAGGCGAAAAGAACCCCGGCGAGGGGAGUGAAAAAGAACCUGAAACCGUGUACGUACAAGCAGUGGGAGCCUCUUUAUGGGGUGACUGCGUACCUUUUGUAUAAUGGGUCAGCGACUUAUAUUCUGUAGCAAGGUUAACCGAAUAGGGGAGCCGAAGGGAAACCGAGUCUUAACUGGGCGUUAAGUUGCAGGGUAUAGACCCGAAACCCGGUGAUCUAGCCAUGGGCAGGUUGAAGGUUGGGUAACACUAACUGGAGGACCGAACCGACUAAUGUUGAAAAAUUAGCGGAUGACUUGUGGCUGGGGGUGAAAGGCCAAUCAAACCGGGAGAUAGCUGGUUCUCCCCGAAAGCUAUUUAGGUAGCGCCUCGUGAAUUCAUCUCCGGGGGUAGAGCACUGUUUCGGCAAGGGGGUCAUCCCGACUUACCAACCCGAUGCAAACUGCGAAUACCGGAGAAUGUUAUCACGGGAGACACACGGCGGGUGCUAACGUCCGUCGUGAAGAGGGAAACAACCCAGACCGCCAGCUAAGGUCCCAAAGUCAUGGUUAAGUGGGAAACGAUGUGGGAAGGCCCAGACAGCCAGGAUGUUGGCUUAGAAGCAGCCAUCAUUUAAAGAAAGCGUAAUAGCUCACUGGUCGAGUCGGCCUGCGCGGAAGAUGUAACGGGGCUAAACCAUGCACCGAAGCUGCGGCAGCGACGCUUAUGCGUUGUUGGGUAGGGGAGCGUUCUGUAAGCCUGUGAAGGUGUGCUGUGAGGCAUGCUGGAGGUAUCAGAAGUGCGAAUGCUGACAUAAGUAACGAUAAAGCGGGUGAAAAGCCCGCUCGCCGGAAGACCAAGGGUUCCUGUCCAACGUUAAUCGGGGCAGGGUGAGUCGACCCCUAAGGCGAGGCCGAAAGGCGUAGUCGAUGGGAAACAGGUUAAUAUUCCUGUACUUGGUGUUACUGCGAAGGGGGGACGGAGAAGGCUAUGUUGGCCGGGCGACGGUUGUCCCGGUUUAAGCGUGUAGGCUGGUUUUCCAGGCAAAUCCGGAAAAUCAAGGCUGAGGCGUGAUGACGAGGCACUACGGUGCUGAAGCAACAAAUGCCCUGCUUCCAGGAAAAGCCUCUAAGCAUCAGGUAACAUCAAAUCGUACCCCAAACCGACACAGGUGGUCAGGUAGAGAAUACCAAGGCGCUUGAGAGAACUCGGGUGAAGGAACUAGGCAAAAUGGUGCCGUAACUUCGGGAGAAGGCACGCUGAUAUGUAGGUGAAGUCCCUUGCGGAUGGAGCUGAAAUCAGUCGAAGAUACCAGCUGGCUGCAACUGUUUAUUAAAAACACAGCACUGUGCAAACACGAAAGUGGACGUAUACGGUGUGACGCCUGCCCGGUGCCGGAAGGUUAAUUGAUGGGGUCAGCGCAAGCGAAGCUCUUGAUCGAAGCCCCGGUAAACGGCGGCCGUAACUAUAACGGUCCUAAGGUAGCGAAAUUCCUUGUCGGGUAAGUUCCGACCUGCACGAAUGGCGUAAUGAUGGCCAGGCUGUCUCCACCCGAGACUCAGUGAAAUUGAACUCGCUGUGAAGAUGCAGUGUACCCGCGGCAAGACGGAAAGACCCCGUGAACCUUUACUAUAGCUUGACACUGAACAUUGAGCCUUGAUGUGUAGGAUAGGUGGGAGGCUUGGAAGUGUGGACGCCAGUCUGCAUGGAGCCGACCUUGAAAUACCACCCUUUAAUGUUUGAUGUUCUAACGUUGACCCGUAAUCCGGGUUGCGGACAGUGUCUGGUGGGUAGUUUGACUGGGGCGGUCUCCUCCUAAAGAGUAACGGAGGAGCACGAAGGUUGGCUAAUCCUGGUCGGACAUCAGGAGGUUAGUGCAAUGGCAUAAGCCAGCUUGACUGCGAGCGUGACGGCGCGAGCAGGUGCGAAAGCAGGUCAUAGUGAUCCGGUGGUUCUGAAUGGAAGGGCCAUCGCUCAACGGAUAAAAGGUACUCCGGGGAUAACAGGCUGAUACCGCCCAAGAGUUCAUAUCGACGGCGGUGUUUGGCACCUCGAUGUCGGCUCAUCACAUCCUGGGGCUGAAGUAGGUCCCAAGGGUAUGGCUGUUCGCCAUUUAAAGUGGUACGCGAGCUGGGUUUAGAACGUCGUGAGACAGUUCGGUCCCUAUCUGCCGUGGGCGCUGGAGAACUGAGGGGGGCUGCUCCUAGUACGAGAGGACCGGAGUGGACGCAUCACUGGUGUUCGGGUUGUCAUGCCAAUGGCACUGCCCGGUAGCUAAAUGCGGAAGAGAUAAGUGCUGAAAGCAUCUAAGCACGAAACUUGCCCCGAGAUGAGUUCUCCCUGACUCCUUGAGAGUCCUGAAGGAACGUUGAAGACGACGACGUUGAUAGGCCGGGUGUGUAAGCGCAGCGAUGCGUUGAGCUAACCGGUACUAAUGAACCGUGAGGCUUAACCUUACAACGCCGAAG